GGCGUUGAAGACCUCGUCGUUUCCGGCGAAAGCGGUAUUCUUGUUCGCUCAGUUCAACUCGUAUCAGUAAAUUCCAACGAAUUGUUUGCGGAAGCGCUCGCUAAACUCAUGACCGCACCGCAGUUGAGGCUAAAAAUGGGACAAGCAGCGAAGACUCGCGCCAAGACCUUUCAACCUGAAAUCGUGUUCAAACAAUGGGAUCAGCUUAUCGCUACGGUGCCUUAUCAUCGAUGACAUCAUCCAUGUUGUGUCGUUCGCGCUUCGCCGCGCCGAACUAAAAGGACUAAUGUAUGUCAAAUGAACAUCUCAAA
rnacentral:misc_RNA from 1 species